UAGGGAAUCUUCGGCAAUAGACGGAAGUCUGACCGAGCAACGCCGCGUGAGUGAAGAAGGUUUUCGGAUCGUAAAGCUCUGUUGUAAGAGAAGAACGAGUGUGAGAGUGGAAAGUUCACACUGUGACGGUAUCUUACCAGAAAGGGACGGCUAACUACGUGCCAGCAGCCGCGGUAAUACGUAGGUCCCGAGCGUUGUCCGGAUUUAUUGGGCGUAAAGCGAGCGCAGGCGGUUAGAUAAGUCUGAAGUUAAAGGCUGUGGCUUAACCAUAGUAGGCUUUGGAAACUGUUUAACUUGAGUGCAAGAGGGGAGAGUGGAAUUCCAUGUGUAGCGGUGAAAUGCGUAGAUAUAUGGAGGAACACCGGUGGCGAAAGCGGCUCUCUGGCUUGUAACUGACGCUGAGGCUCGAAAGCGUGGGGAGCAAACAGGAUUAGAUACCCUGGUAGUCCACGCUGUAAACGAUGAGUGCUAGGUGUUAGACCCUUUCCGGGGUUUAGUGCCGUAGCUAACGCAUUAAGCACUCCGCCUGGGGAGUACGACACGCAAGGUUG
rnacentral:rRNA from 1 species